AGCGAACGCUGGCGGCAGGCCUAACACAUGCAAGUCGAACGAACCUUUCGGGGUUAGUGGCGGACGGGUGAGUAACACGUGGGAACGUGCCUUUAGGUUCGGAAUAACUCAGGGAAACUUGUGCUAAUACCGAAUGUGCCCUUCGGGGGAAAGAUUUAUCGCCUUUAGAGCGGCCCGCGUCUGAUUAGCUAGUUGGUUGAGGUAAUGGCUCACCAAGGCGACGAUCAGUAGCUGGUCUGAGAGGAUGAUCAGCCACAUUGGGACUGAGACACGGCCCAAACUCCUACGGGAGGCAGCAGUGGGGAGGCUUGCGCAAUGGGCGAAAGCCUGACGCAGCCAUGCCGCGUGAAUGAUGAAGGUCUUAGGAUUGUAAAAUUCUUUCACCGGGGACGAUAAUGACGGUACCCGGAGAAGAAGCCCCGGCUAACUUCGUG
rnacentral:rRNA from 1 species